CCUACGGGUGGCAGCAGUGAGGAAUAUUGGUCAAUGGGCGUAAGCCUGAACCAGCCAAGCCGCGUGAGGGAUGAAGGUUCUAUGGAUCGUAAACCUCUUUUAUAAGGGAAUAAAGUGCGGGACGUGUCCCGUUUUGUAUGUACCUUAUGAAUAAGGAUCGGCUAACUCCGUGCCAGCAGCCGCGGUAAUACGGAGGAUCCGAGCGUUAUCCGGAUUUAUUGGGUUUAAAGGGUGCGUAGGCGGCCUUUUAAGUCAGCGGUGAAAGGCUGUGGCUCAACCAUAGAAUUGCCGUUGAAACUGGAAGGCUUGAGUAGGUUUGAGGCAGGCGGAAUGCGUGGUGUAGCGGUGAAAUGCAUAGAUAUCACGCAGAACCCCGAUUGCGAAGGCAGCCUGCCGGGCCAUGACUGACGCUGAGGCACGAAAGCGUGGGGAUCAAACAGGAUUAGAUACCCCAGUAGUC
rnacentral:rRNA from 1 species